rnacentral:rRNA from 1 species
UGGGGAAUAUUGCACAAUGGGCGCAAGCCUGAUGCAGCCAUGCCGCGUGUAUGAAGAAGGCCUUCGGGUUGUAAAGUAUCUUUCAGGCAGGAGGAGGAAUGGGGGAGUGGUUAAUAAUCCAUUUUCAUUGACGUUACUCGCAGAAGAAGCACCGGCUAACUCCGUGCCAGCAGCCGCGGUAAUACGGAGGGUGCAAGCGUUAAUCGGAAUUACUGGGCGUAAAGCGCACGCAGGCGGUCUGUCAAGUCGGAUGUGAAAUCCCCGGGCUCAACCUGGGAACUGCAUUCGAAACUGGCAGGCUAGAGUCUUGUAGAGGGGGGUGAGAAUUCCAGGUGUAGCGGUGAAAUGCGUAGAGAUCUGGAGGAAUACC